rnacentral:lncRNA from 1 species
UGUGUGCAUGCAUUUUAUAUGUGUAGUAAGUAAAUAUAGAAGAUGUUAUAAAAUGGCUGAUGUUUAUUCUUGUAUCCUUUGCAGGAAAGAUUUCAAGUGAAGAAUCCUCCACAUACAUACAUCCAGAAGUUGAAGGGCUAUCUGGACCCGGCUGUAACCAGGAAGAAAUUCAGAAGACGAGUCCAAGAGUCUACUCAAGUACUCCGAGAACUGGAAAUUUCUUUAAGAACAAAUCACAUCGGAUGGGUCAGGGAGUUCCUGAAUGAAGAAAACAAAGGCCUGGAUGUUCUGGUGGAGUACUUGUCGUUUGCGCAGUAUGCAGUCACGUAAGUAAGACAUGCCUGGUACUCUCUGGGCUUGCAAGGCAAAGCAAGAAUCCUGCCAUCACUACAGAGCAAGAGAGGGAAAUGCCAGGGCAAACGCUCAGCUUUCCCUGUAGCUGAGCUUUCCUGCUAGCAGCUUGGUACAAUACUAUGUACGUACCUUAGAGCAGAGAAAAUGGUAACAUUAGCCCAAAACUAUGGCAUCAUAACAUUUUGCAGACAAAAAAGCGCCUAAGUUUAAGCCUUGAGAUCAUUUAUCUCUAAGACUAUAUUGACAUAUUUUUUACUUUUGGCCUCUGACCAUCCUAGGGGGACAGUGU